GACAGAGGGGGCAAGCGUUGCUCGGAAUCACUGGGCGUAAAGGGCGCGUAGGCGGGAUGGCAAGUCGGUCGUGAAAUCCUUCGGCUCAACCGAGGAACGUCGGCCGAUACUGCCGUUCUUGAGGGAUGCAGAGGAGAUUGGAAUUCCCGGUGUAGCGGUGAAAUGUGUAGAGAUCGGGAGGAACACCGGUGGCGAAGGCGGGUCUCUGGGCAUCUCCUGACGCUGAGGCGCGAAAGCGUGGGGAGCAAACGGG
rnacentral:rRNA from 1 species